ensembl:snRNA U6 U6 spliceosomal RNA
GUGCUCACUUCAGGAGCACAUAGACUAAAAUUGGAACAACACAGAGGAGACUAGCAUGGCCCCUGUGCAAGGAUGACAUGCAAAUUCGUGAAGCGCUCCAUAUAUAA